UACGAAGGGGGCUAGCGUUGCUCGGAAUCGAUCGUGGGCGUAAAGGGCGCGUAGGCGCCUGAUCAAGUCGGGGGUGAAACGCCUGUGGCUCAACCACGAGAAUGGCCUCGAUACUGUCAGGGCUUGAGACCGGAAGAAGGUAAGUGGAACUGCGAGUGUAGAGGUGAAAUUCGUAGAUAUUCGCAAGAACACCAGUGGCGAAGGCGGCUUACUGGUCCGGAGUCUGAACGCUGAGGCGCGAAAAGCGUGGGGAGCAAACAGG
rnacentral:rRNA from 1 species